rnacentral:rRNA from 1 species
AGAGUUUGAUCCUGGCUCAGGAUGAACGCUAGCUACAGGCUUAACACAUGCAAGUCGAGGGGAAACGAUAUUGGAAGCUUGCUUCCGAUAGGCGUCGACCGGCGCACGGGUGAGUAACGCGUAUCCAACCUGCCCAUCACUUGGGAAUAACCUUGCGAAAGUAAGACUAAUGCCCAAUGACAUUUAUAGAAGGCAUCUGAAAUGAAUUAAAGAUUUAUCGGUGAUGGAUGGGGAUGCGUCUGAUUAGUUUGUUGGCGGGGUAACGGCCCACCAAGGCGACGAUCAGUAGGGGUUCUGAGAGGAAGGUCCCCCACAUUGGAACUGAGACACGGUCCAAACUCCUACGGGAGGCAGCAGUGAGGAAUAUUGGUCAAUGGGCGAGAGCCUGAACCAGCCAAGUAGCGUGCAGGAAGACGGCCCUAUGGGUUGUAAACUGCUUUUAUAGGGGAAUAAAGUGAGCCACGUGUGGUUUUUUGCAUGUACCCUAUGAAUAAGGACCGGCUAAUUCCGUGCCAGCAGCCGCGGUAAUACGGAAGGUCCGGGCGUUAUCCGGAUUUAUUGGGUUUAAAGGGAGCGUAGGCCGGAGAUUAAGCGUGUUGUGAAAUGUAGACGCUCAACGUCUGCACUGCAGCGCGAACUGGUUUCCUUGAGUACGCAUAAAGUGGGCGGAAUUCGUGGUGUAGCGGUGAAAUGCUUAGAUAUCACGAAGAACUCCGAUUGCGAAGGCAGCUCACUGGGGCGCAACUGACGCUGAAGCUCGAAAGCGCGGGUAUCGAACAGGAUUAGAUACCCUGGUAGUCCGCGCGGUAAACGAUGGAUGCCCGCUGUUGGGCCAACUGGUUCAGCGGCCAAGCGAAAGCAUUAAGCAUCCCACCUGGGGAGUACGCCGGCAACGGUGAAACUCAAAGGAAUUGACGGGGGCCCG